UUCAGUGGUUAUACUUAUAGCAUUAAUUAUACUGUUUGUGGCUUAAGUGCUAUUUGCACACGUAUCUGUUGUACACGAAGCUGGACCCACUAUGACGAUCACACGUGGCUAUCACACGAGCUCACGAGCUUCUCUAUACUGGCGCCGUGACAAACAGCAGAUUGCUAAACAGUAUAUAUAGUGCUUAACCAUGUGUUUUACUCCUAGAUCUUAACCACUCCACUUCAAUGCCACAGCGUGCUGAUCUACGGCUGCCAAAUUCUCAUCAUGAGUAAUGAUGGCGAUCUAUCUAUCAUCGCGGAAGCGGAUUCAACGGUAGAAGACCCCCCCACUGACGAUGACACACCCGAGUUCCCCGACCUCGCUGAGGCCGACGAACAUUUAUUUGCAGCGCUCAUGGCCUACAUCCGGGAGCCAGAGCCAGAGCUUCCGGAAAUGUACCAUGGCGCUGGGGGCGGCCCACGACCUUCGCCACCCCCAAACAUUUUUAACGUUGCCGACGACGACUUCCAAUGCGACGAUUGGGACGAUUAUUACAACCAGCUCGAUUGGUUCGAGGCAAUCCAUCCCGGAUGGACGAUUGUCGAUGACAACAUCGUUAGAAAAAAAAAAUUAAAAAAAAUGUGAUGAAUACUAAUAAAAAAAAUACCGAGAUGACAAACAAAA